UGAAUCUCACAAUUUUUCCUUUUCCUUUUUUUUUGGAGACACCAUUGGAAAUUUCACGGCUACCAUGAAGUCGUUCGGAAUUUAUGCUAAUUUGUUCUGUAGAAAACGUGUUCGCAGAAGCCAUGUUAUGUUCAAGCUGAAGGGAUGUUUGAAAGAUGAAAGUCAUCUUAUGAUGAAAUUUAGUUGCCGAGAAAUGCCACCCAAGAAAUUGAAUAAAAUUGCAGACUAAUGCAGCCUAUGCAAUUCCAAA